rnacentral:rRNA from 1 species
AUACGUAGGGGGCGAGCGUUGUCCGGAAUGAUUGGGCGUAAAGGGCGCGUAGGCGGCCGAUUAAGUCUGGAGUGAAAGUCCCGCUUUCAAGGUGGGAAUUGCUUUGGAGACUGGUUGGCUUGAGUGCGGAAGAGGUAAGUGGAAUUCCCAGUGUAGCGGUGAAAUGCGUAGAGAUUGGGAGGAACACCAGUGGCGAAGGCGACUUACUGGGCCGUAACUGACGCUGAGGCGCGAAAGCGUGGGGAGCGAACAGGAUUAGAUACCCUGGUAGUCCACGCUGUAAACGAUGAAUGCUAGGUGUAGGGGGUAUCGACCCCUCCUGUGCCGGAGUAAACGCAAUAAGCAUUCCGCCUGGGGAGUACGGCCGCAAGGUUGAAACUCAAAUGAAUUGACGGGG